GGUUAACGUUUUAUGGACGACGUUUAUGACAUGGGAGACAUUGUUACUGUUAGAUACCACGGACCAACCAUUUAGCAGAUUGCAGUGUCCUUUACACUAUCCGACUAAUCAUCGUUUGGAAAAAGAUCAAGGGCAAAUACUUGAUUCACAAUCAAGUUUCAAAUGAGCGAGAGAACCUCUGUCCUAAAUGAUUGUUAAACUCAGCAUUGGAGGAAAAUAGACACUACUUUUAUUUGUCUUAUUACUAAAUUUCUAGAUAAAAUGAGCUUUGAAGACCAUAACCGUUGUAGACUUUUAAUUUAAAUUCUAUUUUGAAACAUCUUUAUUCCAAAA